rnacentral:rRNA from 1 species
GACGAACGCUGGCGGCGUGCCUAAUACAUGCAAGUAGAACGCACAGUUUAUACCGUGGCUUGCUACACCAUAGACUGUGAGUUGCGAACGGGUGAGUAACGCGUAGGUAACCUGCCUGGUAGCGGGGGAUAACUAUUGGAAACGAUAGCUAAUACCGCAUAAUAUUAAUUAUUGCAUGAUAAUUAAUUGAAAGGUGCAAUUGCACCACUACCAGAUGGACCUGCGUUGUAUUAGCUAGUAGGUGAGGUAACGGCUCACCUAGGCGACGAUACAUAGCCGAACUGAGAGGGGGAUCGGCCACACUGGGACUGAGACACGGCCCAGACUCCUACGGGAGGCAGCAGUAGGGAAUCUGCGGCAAUGGACGAAAGUCUGACCGAGCAACGCCGCGUGAGUGAAGAAGGUUUUCGGAUCGUAAAGCUCUGUUGUAAGAGAAGAACGGGUGUGAGAGUGGAAAGUUCACACUGUGACGGUAUCUUACCAGAAAGGGACGGCUAACUACGUG